AAUGAACGUUGGCGGCGUGGAUUAGGCAUGCAAGUCGAGCGCGAUCAGUUUGGUGCUUGCAUUAAACUGUGAAAGCGGCGAAAGGGAGAGUAACGCGUAGUUACCUACCUCAGGGUUUAGAAUAGCCACGGGAAACUGUGGGUAAUGCUGAAUAACAUCUCCGGAUCGAAGGUGUGAUUCCGCCCUGAGAGGGGACUGCGUCCUACUAGCUUGUUGGUGGGGUAAUGGCCGACCAAGGCGUUGAUGGGUAGCGGGUGUGAGAGCAUGACCCGUCUCACUGGGACUGAGACACUGCCCAGACACCUACGGGUGGCUGCAGUCGAGAAUCUUCGGCAAUGCGCGAAAGCGUGACCGAGCGACGCCGCGUGCGGGAUGAAGGCCCUCGGGUUGUAAACCGCUGUCGUAGGGGAGGAAGGCUCCAUGAAGAAUGGGGUUUGACCUAUCCUAGGAGGAAGGACGGGCUAAGUUCGUGCCAGCAGCCGCCGUAA
rnacentral:rRNA from 1 species